rnacentral:rRNA from 1 species
AUUGAACGCUGGCGGCAUGCCUUACACAUGCAAGUCGAACGGCAGCGGACCUUCGGGUGCCGGCGAGUGGCGAACGGGUGAGUAAUAUAUCGGAACGUACCUUUCAGUGGGGGAUAACGUAGCGAAAGUUACGCUAAUACCGCAUAUUCUGUGAGCAGGAAAGCAGGGGAUCGCAAGACCUUGCGCUGAUUGAGCGGCCGAUAUCAGAUUAGCUAGUUGGUGAGGUAAAGGCUCACCAAGGCGACGAUCUCUAGCUGGUCUGAGAGGACGAUCAGCCACACUGGGACUGAGACACGGCCCAGACUCCUACGGGAGGCAGCAGUGGGGAAUAUUGGACAAUGGGCGAAAGCCUGAUCCAGCAAUGCCGCGUGUGUGAAGAAGGCCUGAGGGUUGUAAAGCACUCUCAAUCGUGAAGAAAAGUUAGCAGGCUAAUACCCUGUGACCUUGACGUUAACGAUACAAGAAGCACCGGCU